UACGUAGGCAGCGAGCGUUGUUCGGAGUUACUGGGCGUAAAGGGUGUGUAGGCGGUUGUUUAAGUUUGGUGUGAAAUCUCCCGGCUCAACUGGGAGGGUGCGCCGAAUACUGAAUGACUUGGAGUGCGGGAGAGGAGAGUGGAAUUCCUGGUGUAGCGGUGAAAUGCGUAGAUAUCAGGAGGAACACCGGUGGUGUAGACGGCUCUCUGGACCGUAACUGACGCUGAGGCACGAAAGCGUGGGGAGCAAACAGG
rnacentral:rRNA from 1 species